rnacentral:rRNA from 1 species
UGAGACCUGAUGCCGAGCCGAUUGUGGUGAAGUGGAUGAUCCUAUGCUGUCGAGAAAAGCCUCUAGCGAGUUUCAUGGCGGCCCGUACCCUAAACCGACUCAGGUGGUCAGGUAGAGAAUACCGAGGCGUUCGGGUGAACUAUGGUUAAGGAACUCGGCAAAAUGCCCCCGUAACUUCGGGAGAAGGGGGGCCAUCACUGGUGAGAGGACUUGCUCCUCGAGCUGGGGGUGGCCGCAGAGACCAGCGAGAAGCGACUGUUUACUAAAAACACAGGUCCGUGCGAAGCCGUAAGGCGAUGUAUACGGACUGACGCCUGCCCGGUGCUGGAACGUUAAGGGGACCGGUUAGUCACAUUUCGGUGUGGCGAAGCUGAGAACUUAAGCGCCAGUAAACGGCGGUGGUAACUAUAACCAUCCUAAGGUAGCGAAAUUCCUUGUCGGGUAAGUUCCGACCUGCACGAAUGGCGUAACGACUUCUCGACUGUCUCAACCAUAGGCCCGGUGAAAUUGCACUACGAGUAAAGAUGCUCGUUUCGCGCAGCAGGACGGAAAGACCCCGGGACCUUUACUACAGUUUGAUAUUGGUGUUCGGUUCGGCUUGUGUAGGAUAGCUGGGAGACUGUGAACUCUGGACGCCAGUUCAGGGGGAGUCGUCGUUGAAAUACCAGUCUGGUCGUGCUGGAUGUCUAACCUGGGUCCGUGAUCCGGAUCAGGGACAGUGUCUGAUGGGUAGUUUAACUGGGGCGGUUGCCUCCUAAAGAGUAACGGAGGCGCCCAAAGGUUCCCUCAGCCUGGUUGGCAAUCAGGUGUUGAGUGUAAGUGCACAAGGGAGCUUGACUGUGAGACCGACGGGUCGAGCAGGGACGAAAGUCGGGACUAGUGAUCCGGCGGUGGCUUGUGGAAGCGCCGUCGCUCAACGGAUAAAAGGUACCCCGGGGAUAACAGGCUGAUCUUCCCCAAGAGUCCAUAUCGACGGGAUGGUUUGGCACCUCGAUGUCGGCUCGUCGCAUCCUGGGGCUGGAGUCGGUCCCAAGGGUUGGGCUGUUCGCCCAUUAAAGCGGUACGCGAGCUGGGUUUAGAACGUCGUGAGACAGUUCGGUCCCUAUCCGCUGUGCGCGUAGGAGUCUUGAGAAGGGCUGUCCCUAGUACGAGAGGACCGGGACGGACGAACCUCUGGUGUGCCAGUUGUCCUGCCAAGGGCAUGGCUGGUUGGCUACGUUCGGGAGGGAUAACCGCUGAAAGCAUCUAAGCGGGAAGCCUGCUUCGAGAUAAGGACUCCCACCCCCUUUGAGGGGUUAAGGCUCCCAGUAGACGACUGGGUUGAUAGGCCGGAUCUGGAAGCCCAGUAAUGGGUGGAGGUGACCGGUACUAAUAGGCCGAGGGCUUGUCCUCAGUUG